rnacentral:tRNA from 3 species
GGCCAGGUAGCUCAGUCGGUAGAGCAGGGGAUUGAAAAUCCCCGUGUCGGCAGUUCGAUUCUGUCCCUGGCCACCA